CACCUAGUCACUGUUCACAUUACCCCUAAUAUCUGAACCAAUUAUUCUAUUUAGAAAUAAAAUAAAUAGAACUUCUUCAUCACUCAGUGAUGAAGUAGAAUGAUGUCUACUAUUUAUAGACAUUGUGUGUAAUGGAAAAGCCUGAAUGCAAGUAUAGUCCCUGUCCUUUGUCCCUUAAAAUGCCCAAACCACCUCUCUCGUACUUACAGCCAGAUCUCCCUCACUGACAACAAUGUUUUUGUACGUAUAGCCAGAACUCCCUCAUUGAUAAUGUUUUUGUACUUAUAGCCAGAACAUACACAGACUACAUUUUUUUUGGGGUAUGUUUGUAAUAUCUCCCCCCACAAAAACAUUAUCUCAACGAAACUUAUCUUCACUAUAAUGAAAUGAUUUUGAUGCAUAGAUCCAGACCCUGCUCAGCACUGUUGUCAUGUUUACUUCCCACAACCAUAGUGGUAGUCAGUCAGAUAGCCAAAGUAGGGUCUCUGGUGGGGUGUGUGCCCACUGCUUCUUUG